AUCUCAGGCUUUAACAAGGAAGUACCCAUCCAAGUACUAACCAGGCUGGGCCAGGUUAGUACUUGGAUGGGAGACCUCCUAGAAAUCCAGGUGCCACAGUGU
rnacentral:rRNA from 1 species